CGCCCCUGCCCGGGAGAACGCUCUGCGCUGGCCGGGCCGCCCCGGGCUCGCGCCCCCAGGCCAUGCAGAGGGGCCCGUGAGGGGCGCGCGGAGGCGGUGGAAGAGGAGGGAGGAGGGAGGCCGAGGAGGAGGGCGCGGAAGGCGGAGGAUGCCGCCGCCGAUGCCGCCGCCGCCGCCGCCCGCCGGCCCCCGGCGAGCCUGACUCCAGACCCGAGGAUGGAGCCGGCGCUGGGCGCUGCAGCGGCUCCCGGUGCGCCCCCCCACCAGGUAGCCGCUCUCCUCUCCGCUGUGGCUGGAAGAAGAACCUCCCUCCCCGGCUGUCCCUUCCGUGCGGGCCUCGGCGUCUGGGCUGUCUAGACAGAGCUGCCAUUUCCACCGGGAGGUCUGAGAACCCCUCCCCUACCUCUCUCUCUCUCUGCAGUCUGCUGGCCACAGGGCAUCUGCACAGGCUGGGACCGCCGGCUAGGCCAGGAGCCCCGGCAGCUGUGGACUCCCUAGCUCGGAGCAGCCCCUCUUUGGUGAGUGGUGGAGCCCUCCCUGCAUUCGCUCUUGGAGCAGCCCCAGCCCUCCCCCAGGGCCUGGGAGCUGAGCCAGCCUCUCUUGGGAGGGGGGGGGGGACUUCCAGAUGCUCAGACUGGCACCUCGCUCCAGACCUGUGACACACCCUUCAUUUUCCCUGCUCUCCUGUCCCCACCCCACCCACUUUCUCAUUCCUUCAGGUGUCCCUUCUGUUCCACCCCUUCCUCUCCUCUCUGUCCUGCCUGGUUCUCUGGGGCCAUUGCUGGGUCACAGUGGGGCCUCUGAGCUCCCCCUGUGGACAGAAGGGCUGAGAGCCUAAUGGCGGAGGCCCUUGAGGAUUGGCUGGGAUGGG
rnacentral:lncRNA from 1 species